rnacentral:lncRNA from 1 species
AUGCCCAGAAGAUGAUGGUAAUUUUUUUUUUCUUUCUUUUUUGUUGCUGGGUAUCAAAGUCAAGUCCUUGAGUAUGCGAGGCAAGCGGCGGCACCACUGAGCUAAACCCGCGGCCCAGAUGAUGAUAAUCAUAUUCAAGAACUGCCAGAAGGUUUCGACAGGUGUAAUGAGGUCUCAGAACAGUUGUAAUGCAAGGCGGGGAGAUGGAAAUUAUCAUCAGAGGAAGAUAUCUUAAGCCAGGGGCCCCUAGCCUCCAGACCACAGAUCAAUAGGGGUUCACAGAAGGAGGUGAGUGGCAGGGGAAGCAAGGGAAGAUUAGUGUGUAUUUACAGCUCCUGGUACCUUCUGAGCUCUGCUUCCUGUCAGGUCAAGGGUGGCAUUAGAUUCUCAUAAAGUGCAUGAAUCCUACUGAGACUGGUGCAUAGGAGAGAUCUGGGUUGCACGAGCUCUUUAUGAGAAUCUAAUCCUGAAUCCAUCCCCCACCCCUUGGCCUUCCCACUCAGCCCCACCCACUCCACACAUCCCACCCCCACCCCUGGGGUUGUGAAAAAACCAUCCCCCAUGAAAUCAAUCCCUG